ACAGAUUCUGAGAAGUGAGCACUUGUUUUUCUACUAUAUCUGCUUUAGUUUCCUAACCCAAGUGCCAAUAGCUGCACUUCUGGAACUAUGGGUAUUGGUUGGUCCUCUUAAGGAGGAAAAUACAGAUGCAGUAUCCUCAUACUUCGCCUGUGGACUGGAUGAUGACGGCCUAGACCAUCAUUGACUUCUGCUGGCCAAGACAUGGGAUAAGGAUCUCUCUUCCUCUCUCUCUCUCAGCACAUAUAUAGUUAAGCAUAUAAAUAAAGCCCAUGCCAUACAUGCUCUGUAUAAAUAAGCAUAAAGCACACAUCUACUGUAGGCUUCCCCUGUCCUUCUGGGCAGGGGAAUAAGAUGGUUUUCAAGCCUAGCUGAGGGUUAGCUCUUUCCCUAUAUGUGUUGGAAGUAUAUAGGUUUUGGAUUGCUUGUCUUUGCAGAUUUGGACAAAAUCAAGAGGGCACCUGUGAAGAUUUGCGUUAGGGGCUCUGUUCUGAUUGUCCUUGUGUUGAGCUCGUCG
rnacentral:misc_RNA from 1 species